UCGCUUGUAGCACCGACACUGUGCUGUCAUGUACACAACAACAGAGAUAUUUGAACGAGUGCCAAAUAUUAUUUUAAUAUUUUGAUAUUUAGUCUUGUUGUUGGCUAUUUCGAAAAACGUAACUAAACCAUGACGCUGUGUAAAAGUCAAAGAGCCGGUGUUGUCAAGAAGCUUCCUUCAUUUAUAAGCAAAGUACUAAAAUCAAAAAAUGAAUAACGAAUAUAUAAACCAAGUGAUGGAUGCACCGACGAAGUUUACGAUAAGUGAUGGAGGAUCACAGUCCUCUACACUUUCACCGCAAGAAUUUCGUAUAAAUGGAAAUUUGGAGACUCAUUUAUUCGAAGAAAAUAAGAUGAAUGAGUCAAUAAACGUUUCGGAUAACAUAAUAAAAUAAAGUAUUUGGAUGUCCGAAAUCUCUUCUGAAGAUUAUUUGGAUGUGACAAACAACACUACCUACUAAUAAAUUAAAAUUUGUCAUAUUAUGUUGAUGCUGCAGGAAUGUUAGAUUUUAAUCCUUAAAGUUAAAUAGACAGCACAGAAAAAAAAUAUUUAUUUAGCAAAAAAUACAAAAGGAGUAGUUUUUUCCUGUCAA